CAGCUCCCCUCUUCCAUGGAACGAGACUCUGAUUUGAGCUUCACAAACUCUCGAGCCACUUCAUCAUUGCUCCUCUGAGACAGAAUCCGAAGAAUAGUCAUGCCUGUGUCAUCCAUAUGGAUCUUCCGGCCCAAGGGGCACCAGCAAGCACAGCUGCCCUUGGCUGCCACAUCCCUCAGAGGCAUCACAGCCAGCCCCAGAACACGAUCCUCCCGGGCAAAGCAGUAAUCCUUCACACAUAUUUGCAACUCAUAGGCUUCUGGCCCCUCUUCAUUUCCCAGGAGGCUGUGAGCACAGGAUGGGUGGAAGGAGAGGAGGUCAGAGCUGAAAGAGCCUUCAGCUGAUUUUACCCCAGCCAUCAUCCAACUCAUCCCUCUUCUCCCCUCUCAAUUCUUACCCUCAGCUCACCCCCAUCCCAGAGUCCUGCAGGUUCCCCACCCUAUAACUCACAAGUGGAAUGUCUCAUUAUACUUGGGAGCCCAAUUGUUGCUCUUCGACUUGGUUGUGAACUUCCUCUUUUUAUCACUUUGGUGUGGGCCAACCAUGGUCACUUCCACAAAAGGCCGGAACAUCCCUGCCGUCUGCCACUUGAGGUCAUUGGCAGCCACCACUGCCCAAAUAAGAGAAGCCUGUGAGAGAUCCCACCAAAUGUUCCCAGUUCUGGAGCCCUAGGUGGAAUUCCCCUUGGAGGAAGGCUACGUUAGAGGACUGGGAUAAGCAGCCUCUGCCUUCAACUGAUGAGGCCACUGCAAAAGAAAAGCUCUGAGACCUGAUCAUCCACACCAGACCCUGAAGGACAGAUGGAGAGUUGAUUCCCUCAUUGGAGAACUCUAAGACAUCAGGCCUAAUUAUCCCAGGACCACUUCCAACAAGCCUUCCAAAACUACAAGUCUUAACGAGUGUUUCCACAACUUAUUCUCAAGACUUCCUGACAAAUACUUCCUAACAGACAGGCUAUGCUCCUUGAGCUCAAUGAACAUGAGCUAGCCAGGCAAUGUCUGGGAAAAGAAUUGCAGAACAUUUGCCAGGUCCCUAUGAUUCUCCUAUCUGGUAUGAGUACACUGUGGAAGGCCCCACGCAGGAAUUCCAAGGACACAUCCUCAUUCUCAUCCAGCCACUGCAGGACAAACUGCUCAAACCACCUGCAGCCAGGCAGGAGAAUUGGGGGUUGGAGCAAGUGGUUGGCAUAUGCCAUGUGCCUAACAGCUACCCCAGACUCAGGUCUCCUGGAAAGUAGGGGAUGGUUUGAUGCUUUUCUCUUUCUAUAACAGAGCCCAGAACUGGCAGUCUCAA